UUUGUAUUAGAAAGUACAACAACCAAUGCAAUAAUACAAAUAUAAAUAAUGCCAUUUUAUACAGUUCUCGUGUUUCUCAUGCUGCAGCUACUUCUUUGUCUUUAAUGCAAUAACCCUUUCGCACGAUGAUGUUAACAUUCAUCAACAGAGGAAGAAAGUGUCACUAAUUCCAAUAAAACCCGGACCCAAUUUCGGUCAACUAUGCAGUUGGGCUUGAGUAACUUGGACCGGACAACCAACGAAGAAGCCCGAUUUUGGUGAGCAAGAAGAGAUCGGUUCGAAGAGCCGGAGAUUGCGGAGAGGUUGAGAGAAAUCCGGAAUCAAUUCACUAUAAGAAGAGAUCGAUGAAAACGAAGAAAUGACACAGAGUAAACCCUAGAGAGAACUACACACACAUCAAUCUCUUUCCACUCCGCUUUAAUUCUUUUC
rnacentral:lncRNA from 1 species